rnacentral:tRNA from 1 species
GCGCGCCGAUGGUGAAGCAGGCGGACGGCUCGCUCAAGCCGGGCCAGCCGACCGAUUCCUUCCCGGCCGACGCGCUC